CUUUUAUUUUCUGUUCCUCUAAGGGAAGAGAGACCAAAGAGAAUUCUACUUUGACCCUGGCUUAAGAGUGGAACAUAGAUGUCUAUAAAACUAUGUGGUACCAGCAUGCCAUGAAGAAUACGCAAGAAGAAGAAGAAAGAGAAGGAGAAGAAGGAGGAGGAGGAGAGAAGGAAAAGGAGGAGGAGGAGGAGGAGAAAAAGAUGGUGGUAGAGGAGGAGGAGAAGAAGAAUAAGGAGGAGAAGGAGAAGAAGGAGCAGGAGGAGGAGGAAGAAGAGGAAGAGGAGAAGGGAACUCACAUGCUACCUGUGUGAGUCAUAUGUCAGUGCAAUUUCUGGAGGUCAAUUGUAGCCCUGAAGUCUCAGAACAAUGGCAAAAAGAUAGAAGGAGGGCAUGAUACAUUUGGCAGACUAAAAUCUUCAGAUUCCUAAGAAUUUUGCCAUAUGACUGGGUUCCAACCAAAGAAAUAUGAGUAGAAGAUUGUAUAAGCAUCAUUUUUGACCCAAGGGCUUUAAGAAGCAGACUAUGGAAAUGAUGUUAGACAAAAAGCAAAUUCGAGCAAUUUUGUUAUUCGGGUUCAAAAUGGGUCGUAAAGCAGCAGAGACAACUCUCAAAACAUCAGCAACACAUUUGGCGCAGGAACUGCUAAUGAAGGUACAGUGGAGUGGUGGUUCAAGAAGUUUUGCAAAGGAAACAAGAGGCUUGAAGAUGAAGAGUGUAGUGGCCAGCCAUUGGAAGUAGACAACGACAAAUUGAGAGCAAUCAUUGAAGCUGAUCCUCUCACAACUACAGGAGAAGUUGCUGAAGAACUCAACAUCAAUCAUUCUACAGUAGUUCAGCAUUUGAAGCAGAUUGGAAAGGUGAAAAAGCUUGAUAAGUGAAUGCCUCAUGAACACAGCAAAAAUUUUAAAAAAUUGUUGUUUUGAAGUGACAUCUUCUCUUAUUUUACACAACAAUGAACCAUUUCUGGAUCAAAUUAUGACAUGUGAUGAAAAGUGGAUUUUAUAUGACAAGCUGCAAAAACCAGCUCAGUGGUUGGAUGGAGAAGAAGCUUCAAAGCACUUCCCAAAGCUGAACUUGCACCAACAAAAGCUCAUGGUCACGAUUUGGUGGUCUGCUGCCAGCCUGAUCUACUACAGCUUUCUGAAUCCCAGCGAAACCAUUAUAUCUGAGAAAUAUGCUCAGCAAAUCGAUAAGAUGUGCCAAAAACUGCAAGGCCUGCAGCUGGCAUUCGUCAACCAAAAGGAUCCAAUUCUUCUCUACCACCUGACCUCUCGCAAACCAACUACCACUUCUUCAGUUUGUCUCUUCCAGAAUCAAAGCUGUAAAACUACCAAUGGUUCUUCAAAUAGAGCCCCAGAUGCAGUCCAUGACUAAGAUCUACUGCGGACCUCUGGACCGGCCUGCUAGCGCAGCUCCAAUGUUAAUGACAUCGAAGGCACCCCUCCCGAGGAAAUCUCAACUGCAUGACAUCUACUAUGCCCCACUUCAGCAGGAAGCAGUUAGAGUGGUCGUUGGCCAACCUCCCCAACAGCACUUGGGUUUUCCUGUUGAGAUGGGGGACUGAAAGACAGGACUAGCUGGAUUUCCUAGGCCAACUAAGAAUCCCUAAGCCUAGCUGGGAAGGUGACUACAUCCACCUUUAACCACGAGGCUUGCAACUUAGCUCACACCCGGCCAAUCAGGUAGUAAAGAGAGGUUGCUAAAAUGCUAAUUAGGCAAAAACAGGAGGUAAAGAAAUAGCCAAACAUCUAUCGCCUGAGAGCACAAGGGGCGGGACAAUGAUCAGGAUAUAAACUCAGGCAUUCAAGCCAGCAAUGGCUACCCACUUUGGGUCCCCUCCCAUUUUAUGACAGCUCUGUUUUCACUCUAUUAAACCUUUCAACUACCAAAAAAAAAAAAAGAAAGAAAAAAAAAGAAAAACAAUUAACUUUUUUAUAUAUCAGUUAAAUUCAUCCAUGAUGUUUUUUACGUUUUCUGUAUUCUUACUGGUCAUUUUUCUAUUUGUUCUAUCAACUAUCCAGGAAUAUGUGUUAAAGAUGUCCACUUCAAUUGUGAAUUUCUUGAGUUGUUCUUUCAGUUUUGAUCUUUUUUUACCUUAUGCAUUUUGAAGUUGUAUUAUUUCCUGCAUACAAAUGUAGAAUUGUGGUGUCAUUCUUUUGGAGUAAACCAUGAUCAUUAUUGGCAUGACUUACUUAAUAUCUAGACAUGUUGAUUGCUUCAAUUUCUACUUUAAUCUAUCUUAAUAAAAAUACACCAACUUUUU
rnacentral:lncRNA from 1 species